rnacentral:rRNA from 1 species
GACGAACGCUGGCGGCGUGCUUAACACAUGCAAGUCGAACGAGACGAUUGAAAGCUUGCUUUCGAAAGUCGAGUGGCAAACGGGUGAGUAACGCGUAGACAACCUGCCUUUGAGAUGGGGACAACAGUUCGAAAGGACUGCUAAUACCGAAUGUUGUAUAUUUUCCACAUGGAAGAUAUAUUAAAGAUGGCCUCUAUUUAUAAGCUAUCGCUCAAAGAUGGGUCUGCGUCUGAUUAGCUAGUUGGUGGGGUAACGGCCUACCAAGGCGACGAUCAGUAGCCGGUCUGAGAGGAUGAACGGCCACAUUGGGACUGAGACACGGCCCAGACUCCUACGGGAGGCAGCAGUGGGGAAUCUUCCACAAUGGACGAAAGUCUGAUGGAGCAACGCCGCGUGAGUGAAGAAGGGUUUCGGCUCGUAAAGCUCUGUUGUCGGGGACGAAUGUGCAGUAUUUGAAUAAAGUACUGCAAUGACGGUACCUGACGAGGAAGCCACGGCUAACUACGUGCCAGCCGCCGCUGUAA